rnacentral:lncRNA from 1 species
GUGCCCGCCUGGACCGCGGCGCGCUCGGGACGAUCUGGUAAGCGCUCCCCCUCCCGCCCUCGCCCGGCGGCGCUGGGGUCCGGGUCGGGGUCCGGGCUCGACUGCGAGGGCGUGUCCCGGGGUGGCGGGCGCCGGGGCUCCUCGGCCGCUGCACCGGAGCGCACGGCCGAGCCCGCGGCCCGGCCCCCGGCGAAGUCAGCCCCCAGCCUCCCAAACAAAGACUCGCAAAGUUCGGAAGAGAAUCUUUCCCGACAUUUUCCCUCCCCUCGGGCUCUGCGCUGCGGCCAUCAGGGCUCUUAAAAGAGAACCGAGAGCUCUCUGGUUUUCUCCUGGUGUUUUCUUCCCUGCGCUUUGCCCCCCACCUUUGGCUGGAGGGAAGGAGGAGGGGGCAUGGAUGCCCCUCGGGCCCUCAGGUGUUGACCCUCCGAGGCCAGGCUGCCCAGGGGCAGCACAGGAGGUGAGGGCCUGUGGGAUGAGGGACCCCCGACAGCACAAGGAGGCAAGCCCCUCGCCGCUGCAAUGCUCCGGUCCUGGGGCUCAGGUGGAAGUUGCUCCUGAUCCCCCCACACCCCCAGCACCAUCCUGAGUGACUUCCCUUGACCGUCCUGGGUGACCAUCCUGAGCAAGACUCCCUGGCCACCAACUGUCCUGUCGGCUCUGCUUGGGGCAACCACAGUGCCAAGUGAGCCUGGCAGGUGCUGGGUCACAGGACAGCCAUGGACAGGGCCUGGGGAGGAGGAGAAGCUGGGGCCCUGUAGAGCCUGUUCCUUGGGGAGCAGGUGAGGGACCCUGCUGCCUCCCCUAUUCCUGUCUGCAACAGGCCCAGCCCAUACCUCCAGCUAGCUUCUCUGCAUGCCACUCUCUCCGCCUGAGACAAGGCCUCUGUCCCUGUGACUGGUCUGAUCCCUGGGGGGCACUCCUGGGAUAGAAACCUACCCCACCAGUCGGCGGUGGCAAAGCCCUGGAAACUCACAGACCUGUCCUGGGCCUGGGCCUCCACAAGCCUCCCAGUUUGAUCAGGUGCCCCCAACCACAGCAGGGACCAUCUGUCAGGUCUUACUCCCAGUGGUGGCCAGGUCCCCAGCCUUCCAGAGAGCAUUGCUAACUUGCCUCCAUCCCUGGGUGCCUACGCUCCCAAAGUCCUCCUCAGGGGAGCACCCAAGCCGAGAGGGCUGGCCAGCCAGAAUCUGAGUGGGUCACCCCACCAUGUCCCUGGACUCUCUGGCAGGGCUGUCACAGGGCAGCCUACAGGCGUCAGUUGGAGCACAGAGGGUGUUUGCAGUGACGGCAGGGGACAGAGUGCCCAGUUGGCUCUAGCCUGUUGCUGCCAUGAGGAUAAGGGCUGAGGCUGUUAGAGCUUCUGACUUCAGAAGAAAUCCAGAUUUGUACAUGAAAUGUCCAAAAUUUGAGCACAUUGCAGGACAGAGGAAACACUCUGGGGUUGAACCCAACCCAUGCCCCCACCCCGAGACUGCAACUCCUGUGUACGCCUGAACUGGUUAGUGUUCAAAGAAAGCAGAUUUCUUAGUGACCCUGGCCCCAGCCCAAGAUUUGAGCAGGAGACCCCGGGGAUCUGGGGAGCAGGGAGGCAGGAGAGUCUGUAUCUCAUGGACCCAGCACCACAGGGAGGGUCGGCCUCCACAGGCAUGAACUGUCCAGGUAAUUAACACUUGCUCGAGCCCACUUAAAGUUAAAAUCUCCCUAAAAUGAGGAACCUGACCUGCCCCAUCCCCAAACCCUCUGGGGGACCUUCUAUACCCGCCCAGGGUAUAAUGAAGGAAAGAUAGGAUGCAGAAAGUGAACCUGAACUUGAACUUUCUUCAUGUCCCAGGCAGUAGAGUCGCAGCAUACCAAAAAUCCUGGGCUUAUAGGGAAGUUCUGCAUUGAGGCAGGCCUGCCUCCACCUGCCAGCGCUACCUCAUUCUAGCUGGGUAACCUCACCUCUCUGGGCCUCAGUUUCCUCACUCAUAAAAGGGGCUUAAUAAGAGUUCUGCCAGACAGGUGUGGUAGCUCACACCUGUAAUCCCAGCACUUUGCGAGGCCGAGGCAGACAGAUCAUGAGGUCAGGAGUUCCAGACCAGCCUGGCCAACACGAUGAAACCCUGUCUCUACUAAAAAUACAAAAAUUAGCUAGGUGUGGUGGCACACAGCUGUAGUCCCAGCUACUCAGGAGGCUGAGGCAGGAGAAUUGCUUGAACCCGGGAGGCGGAGGUUGCAGUAAGCCGAGAUUGCGCCACUGCACUCCAGCCUGGGUGACAGAGCGAGACUCUGUCUCAAAAAAACAAACAAACAAACAAACAAACAAAACAAACAAAAAGAGUUCUGUAUCAGUUGCGUUGUUGGGAGAACGGUGACAAUCGCUGUGAACAUCGAUCACUCCGCUAGCACACGGCAGGCACUCAGUAUCAGCGGCUGCUGCUCCAGGGGCCCGUGGCUGCUGGCUUCUCUCGCACAUCACCUGCUUCUGGGCAGCUCAGGAAUUUCUCUCCUACAUCUCAUGUCAACUUUGCAUCGCUUACCUCACCACCUUCUGGCACUUGUUUCCGUACCCUAAAGGAAACAGUCACUGAACACCUCCCCCACACCUAUACUCCUGUAUGGAGUACUGGGCACAGAGAGAAAAGACGACAAGGUCCUGCCUUAGAAGCUGCCAGAUACCCUGUGCAGUGACACCCUCAGGUGAGCUUCUCUAGGCUAAUGCCAGAGAAGGUGUUUCCUGUGCAGCCUUUGUUGAAUGCCUCCAGAGACAGGCAGCUCACCACCUAUCUGGCAGUGUGGCUGCAGAAGCCGUAGGACAGAGUCACCCAGGCAUCCUUGAGCCUUAACUGGUAGAAAGAGAUGUAGGACAGGUCCAUAGGCAGUGCCCCUGAGUCAGAGGCACCUGGUUUUACUGGAGAAAACACAUACCUCAUAAGAAACUUCUGAAAAUUUGGUGAGGUGUACAGAAAGAUUUCAGUCUCCAGAAAAAGCACUGCAAAUGCUCACGCAUGUUUUUACAGAACAGAGCCCUGUUUCCUCUUUUUGCCAACAGCCCAUUUAGCAAUGCCAGGGCUGUGCCAGUGACCCCACCCACCUCCUAACAAGGCAGCCACUGUCCCGGGGGACAGCCAAUAUAUGCUUUGAUUUUUUGAGGUUAAUGUCCUUGGGCCCCUGAUUUUGGAAACCCUGGACAAAAUAUAAGGAGUCACUGCAUGGGAAAUAAACCUACCCCAGAAAGCUGGCUGCGGCAUUCAGGAAACUGGAGAGAAAAGUCAAGGUGUCCGGAGGCCCAGGGUUCCUCGCCAGGAUCGGCUAUAGAGUUUGCAGGGCCCAGGGUAAGAAGAAAAUGUGGCCCCCUGGUUUGAAAAUGCCUGAGAAUUACAAGGUGGUGACGAUGGUGUGAAUUAAAACGAGCUUGGGGCCCUUCCGAAUGCAGGGCCUUCCUAAGCUCAGGGCCCUGUGCGGUGGUAUGGGUCACAAACCCACAAAGCCAGCCCUGCCCCUCACACGUGUUCGUGCCGCAUGCUGAGGCCCAGGGAGGGACCAAAGGCAGCUUCAGUGAAGGAGUACAACUCCUCGUCUUUGCCAUUCUUUUUUUUUUUCUUUAAUGCCAUCAUUGAUGUUCCAUGCUCAUUUUAGAACACUUUGAGUCCUCAGAAAAGAAAAACAUUUGUCAAUCACCUAUGAAAGCACACUCAGAGAUAGCCACUGGGAAGGCCUCACCCAGCUUCUGUCAAAACUUUUUUUUUUUUUUUUUUGAGAUGGAGUCUCGUUGUGUCGCCCAGACUGGAGUGCAGUGGUGCAGUCUCGGCUCACUGCAACCUCUGCUUCCUGGGUUCAAGCGAUUCACCUGGCUCCAAGCGAUUCUCCUGGCUCAGCCUCCCAAGUGGCUGGGACUACAGGCGCCUACCACCACCCCCAGCUAACUUGUAUUUUUAGUAGAGAUGGGGUUUCACUAUGUUGGCCAGGCUGGUCUCGAGCUCCUGACCUCAGGUGACCCACCCACCUCAGCUUUCCACAGUGCUGGGGUUACAGGUGUGAGCCACCACACCUAGUCUGUCAAAACAUAUUUUAAGCAAAAUUAGCAUCUUAUUAGGUGUAUCAUUUUAUCUUCUGCUUGUUUCAUUAAUAUUUUAUCACAAUAUUUUCCUAAGUCAGAAGAUACUGUCUUGCAAAUGAACUUUCAUGACUAUUUAGCAUAUUCCACUGGACAGAGGUCCUUAACUAACCCCUUAUUAUCAGGCACUUGGGUUCUUCCCAGUUAUUUCCAGUUUUCCCCAUUGUAGGCAACACUUCCAGGAACAUUUGUCUGCACUUUUCUGAUUACUUCCUAGCAUGAUGAAACCCUGCUUUAGUGGUGGGGCUCCCAGUUAAGUCAUUAGGGGUGAUAUUUUGGCUCCAGAAGACUCUUGGGGUGGUCUCUGAAAAACCCCCUUGGCCAAGUACCUCAGCCCCCAUGCCUCAUGCAGUGACAGUCCCACACCACAGCCCUGGCAUUGCAUCUGACUUUUUUUUUUUUUUUUUUUUUGAGAUAGAGUCUCACUGUCGUCCAGGGCUGGAGUGCAGUGGCGUGAUCUCGGUUCACUGCAAACCUCUGCCUCCCAGGUUCAAGUGAUUCUCC